UACGUAGGGUGCGAGCGUUGAUCGGAAUUACUGGGCGUAAAGCGUGCGCAGGCGGUUUUGCAAGCCGGAUGUGAAAUCCCCGGGCUUAACCUGGGAAUGGCAUUUGGGACUGCAAGGCUGGAGUGCGGCAGAGGAGACUGGAAUUCCUGGUGUAGCAGUGAAAUGCGUAGAUAUCAGGAGGAACACCGAUGGCGAAGGCAGGUCUCUGGGCUGACACUGACGCUCAGGCACGAAAGCGUGGGGAGCAAACAGG
rnacentral:rRNA from 1 species